rnacentral:tRNA from 1 species
GUAGAUAUAGUUUAAUCAAAACACUAGAUUGUGAAUCUAAUUAUAGAGGCCUAUUGCCUCUUAUUUACC